rnacentral:rRNA from 1 species
GAGGGGGCAACUGUCUCCUUUUUCCAAUCAGUGAAACUGAUCUCCUCGUGAAAAAGCGAGGAUAUACCCAUAAGACGAGAAGACCCCAUGGAGCUUUAAACCUUGCAGCAACUCUAAUACAUAACUCAUUAAAGCCAUCAGAACCAUGCAGGCCGGUUUUAGGUUGGGGCGACCGCGGAGAAAAAAUUAUCCUCCACAACGAAAAGAACUAAACCUUUACCCAAGAGCUACUCCUCUAAGAAUUAGUAUACUAACGAACAAUGACCCGAUAAUCGAUCAAUGAACCAAGUUACCCUGGGGAUAACAGCGCAAUCUACUUCGAGAGCCCAUAUCGA